UGGGGAAUCUUGCACAAUGGGGGCAACCCUGAUGCAGCGACGCCGCGUGAGCGAUGAAGCCCUUCGGGGCGUAAAGCUCUUUCGACCGGAACGAUAAUGACGGUACCGGGAGAAGAAGCUGCGGCUAACUACGUGCCAGCAGCCGCGGUAAUACGUAGGCAGCAAGCGUUGUUCGGAGUUACUGGGCGUAAAGAGUGCGUAGGCGGUUUUCUAAGUUCGGUGUGAAAUCUCCCGGCUUAACUGGGAGGGUGCGCCGAAGACUGGGAAGCUGGAGUGUGGGAAAGGCAGGCGGAAUUCCUGGUGUAGCGGUGAAAUGCGUAGAUAUCAGGAGGAACACUGGCGGUGUAGACGGCUUGCUAGACCAUAACUGACGCUGAGGCACGAAAGCGUGGGUAGCAAAC
rnacentral:rRNA from 1 species